CUAAUCUUUAUAUAGUAACCAUGCCAUUUCUUCCUCCCACUCAUCCCAUUGUAGUGACUUUGAGUUGAAGACAAUCAGGAACCGAAGAUUUCACUAAGAUGAAGGCAAGUGACAGAGUCCCUUCAGGGAGAGAGUACAGAUUAAAACCACCCUAUUUCUUUCCAGUGUCCAGCCUGCUGUUGUUUCCACUUCAUUGCUAUGGGCCUUUGAUAUUUUAACCUGAUCCUUAGAUGAAUGGAGAAAAACCAACCUCGUUGAUCCACGUCUCAGGGACAGAGGGGUCAAGGGGAAGCUGCCAAGUGCCUCUGCAAUCGCUCUUGUGGCUCCAGCUGACUUUGCAAAGCCCUCUGUGUUUGUAGCAAGAUGCCCAGGUGGGAGAAGAAUAGAUCCCUUCUGCCUCUUGGGUUUGUUUUCUUACUGAGCGGGAAGACCUGCCGCGUUUAAUUGAAUUAAAUUCAUUGUGCCAAGAUUCAAUCAAACAUGCGGGCCCUGGCAGUGGCCAACAAAAGACGGACGCCAAAGAAGCAGGCAGCCAAAAGUCUUUAGGAAAAACUUGGCAUGUUAUCAUUCUCUUUCCAUCUCUCUAAGGCUGUAUCUACACUGCCACAUAAUCCAGUUUCUGAAUCCAGAUUAUCUGCUUUGAACUGGAUUAUAUGAGUUUACACUGCCAUAUAAUCCAGUUCAAAGCAAAUAAUCUUGAUGGGGCUCAAGGCAGUGGUUCUCAAUUUGGGGUCCAGGGACCCCUGGGGAUGCAUGAUUUUGUCACAUGUGGUCGGUGAAGGAUUACAUUAUUAACUAUUGUUAGUGCUGAUAGGAGCCACUGUGGCGCAAUGGGUUAAACCAUUGUGCCGGCUGGACUGCUGACCUGAAGGUUACGGUUCAAAUCCACAAGACGAGGUGAACUCCCGUCUGUCAGCUCUAACUUGCAGGGACAUGAGAGAAGCCUCCAGGCAGGAUGGUAACACAUCCGGGCAUCCCUGGGCAAUGUCUCUGUAGACAGCCAAUUUUCUCACACCAAAAGCGACUUGCAGUAUGUUCUUAAGUCGCUUCGGACAUGAUAAAAAUUAGUGUUGGUACUAUUAUUUAAAUUUGAUAUAGAACCAUUAUAAUAUUAUAAUAGGAGUGUGUGCAUUAACAGAUUAAUGUAUAUUCCUUUCUAUCUAAAUCUGAAGGAACGUUAAUGAGACAACUGAAAUAAUUAUUUGAUAUGCCUUAAAUCUUGAGUUAAGUCUUGGGGGUCUGCGGCCACAAAAGUAUUUAAAAGGGGGUCUAUGGUGAAGAAAAGGUUGACAAUGGCUUUAAAUAAUUAUUACUCUUUUAUAUAUUUGUCAGAGGCCCCUUCCACACAGCUGAAUAAAAUCCCACAUUAUCUGCUUUGAACUGAGAUAUAUAGCAGUGUGGACUCAAAUAACCCCGUUCAAAGCAGUUAUUUUGGAUUAUCCGCCUUGCUUUUCUGGUUUAUAUGGCUGUGUGCAAGGGCCCAGGAUGAGUCAUUAGUGUUAUUAAUUAUUUCAUAUAUCUGAUCCCAGAUUAUCUGAUAAUCCCAGAUUAUCUGGCAGUGGAAACUCAAAUCCCUUCCACACUAACCUAUAUCCCAGGAUCUGAUCCCAGAUUAUCCCAUUUAAACUGGAUUAUAUGAGUCUCCACUGCCAGAUAGCCCAGGAUCAGAUCCUGGGAUAUAAGGACAGUAUGGAAGGGGCCUCAGGAUCCUUCUACACUGCCAUAUAAAAUCCAGAUUAUUUUUAUUUGAACUGGAUUUUACGACAUUGAGGAGUCAUAUAAUCAAGUUUAAAGCAAAUAAUGUGAAUUAUCUUCUUUGAUCAUCUGGAUUAUAUGGCAGUGUAGAAGGGGCCUCAUAUAAAUCAGAUCCUGGAAUAUAGGGCAGUGUAGAUCCAGCUUUAGUAUCUCUAACCCUCAUCCCUUAGAGUUUUCUUUUCAUAGAUAGAUGAUUAACAUGUAUGCGUUAGAUAUUACUCAUGGGCACGGUGUCAUUGUCUGUAUAACUGUGAAAUUCUAAAACACAAUGAUGCAUAGAAUAAGCUUUAUCUUAACCAUUGCUGUGAGUAGUUUGGCCUAAAAGCAGUGCUGGAGUUUGGUAGAUCAUUUGUUGAAAGUUAUUGUUUCUUGUCUAUUUGGCUUCCUGCUCAUUUUCAGAGCUCAUUCCAGCUCCAUGUUUUGCUUGGGAAAUAUUUGGACUGAUAUUGCAAUCCCAUCCAACAAAAAAAUAGAUGCAUGGAUGCAUACUAUUUCUGCAAAUCUUGGAGCAUACACACAUCUUCAAAUGCA